UACAGAGGGGGCAAGCGUUGUUCGGAAUUACUGGGCGUAAAGGGCGCGUAGGCGGCCUGCUAAGUCGAACGUGAAAUCCCUGGGCUCAACCCAGGAACUGCGUCCGAUACUGGUUGGCUUGAAUCCGGGAGAGGGAUGCGGAAUUCCAGGUGUAGCGGUGAAAUGCGUAGAUAUCUGGAGGAACACCGGUGGCGAAGGCGGCGCUCUGGGCCGGUACUGACACUGAGGAGCGAAAGCGUGGGUAGCAAACAGG
rnacentral:rRNA from 1 species